AAACGCUGAAGGCAUCUAAGCGUGAAGCCCCCCUUAAGAUGAGAUAUCCCAUUCGAAAGAAGUAAACCCCCUUGAAGACGACGAGGUAGAUAGGGCAGAGGUGGAAGUGUAGUAAUGCAUGGAGCUGACUGUUACUAAUCGGGUGAGGGCUUGACCAAG
rnacentral:rRNA from 1 species